AUGUCAAGAUAUUUGAUGAAUGUUUCUAAUAAUGCGUUAAUACUCAUGUAAAGAGUUCUAAACAAGUUGUAAACUGAAUUUCCUCGGCAAAGAGUCCGGAUCAUCAAGCGGACAAGCUGGAGGGAAUUCACGGGAGAAAGGCGUGCUCUAAAGGUUUUCUAGUAGAAGGGUGAUGAUCAAGCAUUUGUAUUUGAACCGAACACUCAAGCGAACGCUUCCGCACUUGAUCUUUUGUUUUAAAACUAUGUAACAGUUGUAGAUUCUAUCUUGAAUAUGGUUUCGUGGGAUAUUAUCGUGAAUGUUAUGUGUAAUUAUGGUUUUCAAAUCUUGUAAGUUUUUGUAAACUCCAAAUUUGCUAUGAAAGGCAAGGUUUUAUGUUAUUAAAUCUAGUGU
rnacentral:lncRNA from 1 species